GACGAAGGACCCAAGCGUUAUCCGGAUUCAUUGGGUUUAAAGGGUGCGUAGGCGGGUUGAUAAGUCAGUGGUGAAAGCCCAACGCUUAACGUUGGAACUGCCAUUGAUACUGUCGAUCUUGAAUGUGUUUGAUGUGGGCGGAAUAUGACAUGUAGCGGUGAAAUGCUUAGAUAUGUCAUAGAACACCGAUUGCGAAGGCAGCUCACAAAACCACUAUUGACGCUGAGGCACGAAAGCGUGGGGAUCAAACAGGAUUAGAUACCCUGGUAGUCCACGCCGUAAACUUUGAUCACUCGCUGUUGGCGAUACACUGUCAGCGGCUAAGCGAAAGCGUUAAGUGAUCCACCUGGGGAGUACGAUCGCAAGAUUGAA
rnacentral:rRNA from 1 species